rnacentral:rRNA from 1 species
AGCUCCAACAGCGUAUAUUGAAGUUGUUGCAGUUAAAAAGCUCGUAGUUGAAUUCCUGCCAAGGACGACGGGUCCGCCCUCUGGGUGAGUACCACGUUCGACCUGGGCAUCUUCUUGGGAAACGUGGCUGUACUUCAUUGUGCGGCGCGAGGCCCAGGACUUUUACCUUGAGGAAAUUAGAGUGUUUCAAGCAGGCUCACGCCUUGAAUACAUUAGCAUGGAAUAAUAUCAUAGGGCUGCUGCUUUAUUUUGUUGGUUUCUAGAGCUGUAGUAAUGAUUAAUAGGGAUAGUUGGGGGCAUUCGUAUUUAACUGUCAGAGGUGAAAUUCUUGGAUUUGUUAAGGACGGACUACUGCGAAAGCAUUUGCCAAGAAUGUUUUCAUUG